rnacentral:rRNA from 1 species
UACGGGGGGGCAAGCGUUGUUCGGAAUUACUGGGCGUAAAGGGUUUGUAGGUGGCUUGCUAAGUCAGACGUGAAAUCCCUCAGCUUACUGGGGAACUGCGUCUGAUACUGGCGAGCUUGAGUGCAGGAGAGGAACGCGGAAUUCCAGGUGUAGCGGUGAAAUGACGUAGAUAUCUGGAGGAACACCGGUGGCGAAGGCGGCGUUCUGGACUGCAACUGACACUGAAAAAACGAAAAGCCAGGGGAGCAAACGGG